rnacentral:rRNA from 1 species
UGGGGAAUAUUGCACAAUGGGCGCAAGCCUGAUGCAGCAACGCCGCGUGAGGGACGACGGCCUUCGGGUUGUAAACCUCUUUUGGCAGGGAAGAAGCGAAAGUGACGGUACCUGCAGAAAAAGCACCGGCUAACUACGUGCCAGCAGCCGCGGUGAUACGUAGGGUGCAAGCGUUGUCCGGAAUUAUUGGGCGUAAAGAGCUCGUAGGCGGUUUGUCGCGUCUGCUGUGAAAACCCGAGGCUCAACCUCGGGCCUGCAGUGGGUACGGGCAAACUAGAGUGCGGUAGGGGAGAUUGGAAUUCCUGGUGUAGCGGUGGAAUGCGCAGAUAUCAGGAGGAACACCGAUGCCGAAGGCAGAUCUCUGGGCCGUAACUGACGCUGAGGAGCGAAAGCAUGGGGAGCGAACA